GGGGCACAGAGUCAGCCCCAUCCCUCACCCCACCCCAGUCCAAGCAAACUUUAGAUGAUCUCUCACAUGAAUUUUCAUUUCUGCCCCCCACCAUCCCACCUUGUGUGGGUGGGUGGGGUGUGGUGUGGUGUGGUGUGGUGUGGUGUGGUGUGGGGGGGGGGGAAUUCCUCACCCCGGCCCAGCCCAACCCAACCCAACCCCACAUCGACAGCCCAAAAGGACGAAGGCAAGGAAGGCAGCAGGUCCGGAUAGAAUCUGCUCCAGACUGCUGCAGGACUGUACAGAACAGCUUUGUCAGUGACAUCAGCGCAUAUACCUGUGAGGACGCUGAUGAUGGAGCAAAGGUCUCAGAUGCUGAGACAGAUGCGACUGUCUAAAUCUGAUCGGCACAGAGAGGACUAUGCAUCUCUUUAAAAAGAGACCAAGACCAGAGUCAGCCCCAUCCCUCACCCCACCCCACUCCAAACAAACUUUAGAUAAUCUCUCACAUGGAUUUUCAUUUCUGCCCCCCACCAUCCCACCUGGUGGGGGGCGGGGGGGAUCCCUCACCCCGGCCCAGCCCAGCCCAGCCCCACAUCGACAGCCCAAGAGGACAAAGGAAAGGAAGGCAGCAGGUCCAGAUAGAAUCUGCUCCAGACUCCUGUGACAACACAAGGCAAGAAAACAAAGUGUUGAUCUUAAACUCUAACAAAGCCUUUAAAGUUUCCGCUGAACCCUCUGCUCUGUCUCU